CCCAACAGAGAGGACACCUUGACUGAGAAGCCUGACCACCCCUUCUGGGCCCUCAUCCUCAUCUGCUUGGCGGGCCUCCUGGUGCUCAUCACAGGCCUGAUCUGCUGUCUCCUGCCAAAAGAAUGCAAUGGUGUCAAGAUUCCUGUUGAUGCCAGUAAACCUAAUCCAAAUGAUGUGGAGUUUGGUAAUCUGUAUUUGGAUAUGAAUGGAAUCAUCCAUCCCUGUACUCAUCCUGAAGACAAACCAGCACCAAAAAACGAAGAUAAAAUGAUGGUUGCAAUUUUUGAAUACAUUGACAGACUUCAAUAUAGUAAGACCAAGACGACUUCUCUACAUGGCAAUAGAUGGAGUGGCACCACGUGCUAAAAUGAACCAGCAGCGUUCGAGGAGGUUCAGAGCAUCAAAGGAAGGAAUGGAAGCAGCAGUAGAGAAGCAGCGAGUCAGGGAAGAAAUACUGGCAAAAGGUGGCUUUCUUCCUCCAGAAGAAAUAAAAGAAAGAUUUGACAGCAACUGUAUUACACCAGUAAGUAGUCUCAGACUUUGCUGGCUAUUGCUAACUCUUAAAUG